rnacentral:rRNA from 1 species
AUUGAACGCUGGCGGCAGGCCUAACACAUGCAAGUCGAACGGUAGCACAGAGAGCUUGCUCUCGGGUGACGAGUGGCGGACGGGUGAGUAAUGUCUGGGAAACUGCCCGAUGGAGGGGGAUAACUACUGGAAACGGUAGCUAAUACCGCAUAACGUCGCAAGACCAAAGAGGGGGACCUUCGGGCCUCUUGCCAUCGGAUGUGCCCAGAUGGGAUUAGCUUGUAGGUGAGGUAACGGCUCACCUAGGCGACGAUCCCUAGCUGGUCUGAGAGGAUGACCAGCCACACUGGAACUGAGACACGGUCCAGACUCCUACGGGAGGCAGCAGUGGGGAAUAUUGCACAAUGGGCGCAAGCCUGAUGCAGCCAUGCCGCGUGUAUGAAGAAGGCCUUCGGGUUGUAAAGUACUUUCAGCGGGGAGGAAGGGAGUGAGGUUAAUAACCUCAUUCAUUGACGUUACCCGCAGAAGAAGCACCGGCUAACUCCGUGCCAGCAGCCGCGGUAAUACGGAGGGUGCGAGCGUUAAUCGGAAUUACUGGGCGUAAAGCGCACGCAGGCGGUCUGUCAAGUCGGAUGUGAAAUCCCCGGGCUCAACCUGGGAACUGCAUUCGAAACUGGCAGGCUGGAGUCUUGUAGAGGGGGGUAGAAUUCCAGGUGUAGCGGUGAAAUGCGUAGAGAUCUGGAGGAAUACCGGUGGCGAAGGCGGCCCCCUGGACAAAGACUGACGCUCAGGUGCGAAAGCGUGGGGAGCAAACAGGAUUAGAUACCCUGGUAGUCCACGCUGUAAACGAUGUCGACUUGGAGGUUGUUCCCUUGAGGAGUGGCUUCCGGAGCUAACGCGUUAAGUCGACCGCCUGGGGAGUACGGCCGCAAGGUUAAAACUCAAAUGAAUUGACGGGGGCCCGCACAAGCGGUGGAGCAUGUGGUUUAAUUCGAUGCAACGCGAAGAACCUUACCUACUCUUGACAUCCAGAGAACUUAGCAGAGAUGCUUUGGUGCCUUCGGGAACUCUGAGACAGGUGCUGCAUGGCUGUCGUCAGCUCGUGUUGUGAAAUGUUGGGUUAAGUCCCGCAACGAGCGCAACCCUUAUCCUUUGUUGCCAGCGAUUCGGUCGGGGACUCAAAGGAGACUGCCAGUGAUAAACUGGAGGAAGGUGGGGGUGACGUCAAGUCAUCAUGGCCCUUACGAGUAGGGCUACACACGUGCUACAAUGGCAUAUACAAAGAGAAGCGACCUCGCGAGAGCAAGCGGACCUCAUAAAGUAUGUCGUAGUCCGGAUUGGAGUCUGCAACUCGACUCCAUGAAGUCGGAAUCGCUAGUAAUCGUGGAUCAGAAUGCCACGGUGAAUACGUUCCCGGGCCU